CCUACGGGCGGCAGCAGUGGGGAAUAUUGGACAAUGGGCGAAAGCCUGAUCCAGCCAUGCCGCGUGUGUGAAGAAGGCCUUCGGGUUGUAAAGCACUUUCAGUGGGGAAGAAAGCCUUGGGGCUAAUACCCUCGAGGAAGGACAUCACCCACAGAAGAAGCACCGGCUAACUCCGUGCCAGCAGCCGCGGUAAUACGGAGGGUGCGAGCGUUAAUCGGAAUUACUGGGCGUAAAGCGCGCGUAGGCGGUCUGAUAAGCCGGUUGUGGAAGCCCCGGGCUCAACCUGGGAACGGCAUCCGGAACUGUCAGGCUAGAGUGCAGGAGAGGAAGGUAGAAUUCCCGGUGUAGCGGUGAAAUGCGUAGAGAUCGGGAGGAAUACCAGUGGCGAAGGCGGCCUUCUGGACUGACACUGACGCUGAGGUGCGAAAGCGUGGGUAGCAAACAGGAUUAGAUACCCUGGUAGUC
rnacentral:rRNA from 1 species